rnacentral:rRNA from 1 species
UACGUAGGGUGCAAGCGUUAAUCGGAAUUACUGGGCGUAAAGCGUGCGCAGGCGGUUUUGUAAGUCUGUCGUGAAAGCCCCGGGCUCAACCUGGGAAUUGCGAUGGAGACUGCAAGGCUUGAAUCUGGCAGAGGGGGGUAGAAUUCCACGUGUAGCAGUGAAAUGCGUAGAGAUGUGGAGGAACAACGAUGGCGAAGGCAGCCCCCUGGGUCAAGAUUGACGCUCAUGCACGAAAGCGUGGGGAGCAAACAGG